rnacentral:rRNA from 1 species
UACAGAGGGUGCGAGCGUUAAUCGGAAUUACUGGGCGUAAAGCGUGCGUAGACGGUUAUUUAAGUCGGGUGUGAAAGCCCCGGGCUCAACCUGGGAAUUGCAUUCGAGACUGAAUAGCUAGGGUACGGUAGAGGGAUGCGGAAUUCCAGGUGUAGCGGUGAAAUGCGUAGAUAUCUGGAGGAACACCGGUGGCGAAGGCGGCAUCCUGGACCGAUACUAACGCUGAGGAGCGAAAGCCAGGGGAGCAAACAGG